UGGGGAAUUUUGGACAAUGGGGGAAACCCUGAUCCAGCCAUCCCGCGUGUGCGAUGAAGGCCUUCGGGUUGUAAAGCACUUUUGGCAGGAAAGAAACGUCAUGGGUUAAUACCCCGUGAAACUGACGGUACCUGCAGAAUAAGCACCGGCUAACUACGUGCCAGCAGCCGCGGUAAUACGUAGGGUGCAAGCGUUAAUCGGAAUUACUGGGCGUAAAGCGUGCUCAGGCGGUUCGGAAAGAAAGAUGUGAAAUCCCAGAGCUCAACUUUGGAACUGCAUUUUUAACUACCGGGCUAGAGUGUGUCAGAGGGAGGUGGAAUUCCGCGUGUAGCAGUGAAAUGCGUAGAUAUGCGGAGGAACACCGAUGGCGAAGGCAGCCUCCUGGGAUAACACUGACGCUCAUGCACGAAAGCGUGGGGAGCAAACAGG
rnacentral:rRNA from 1 species